AUGCAGGUUAAGUUACAAUAUGGCUGCGAAGUGCUCUAUUGUCGUUCCCCCUGCGGAAAUUAACUCGUUUUUAUACUAUCCCUGGCUGUCUUGUUCCAACGACUGACAGGGACGCUUGAUCACGAACAC